rnacentral:lncRNA from 1 species
CUGACAAGCUUUCCCUGAGUGUUCCAUUCGGAAUAAACUCAUAUACCAGCACCUGUUCUCCUUGUUCAAAACAAAAUCCCAAAAGGCCAACAACAUUUUUGUGAUGAACUCGCGAGAGCAACUCGAUUUCAGUCUUGAACUCAAGGCCACCCUGCAUUGAUCCUUGCUGAGCUCUUUUGAUUGCCACCACUUGUCCAUCAGAAAGCAUGCCCCUGUAAACCUAUGGACAACCAACCAAAAGGUGAAGAAAAAAAACAUCCUUUAACUUGAAGCAGAAUUUCAUAGAUGUUACUGAAAUACUUGAAUUAAUAUACCUUCCCGUAUCCACCAGAUCCUAUCUCAUUACUGUCAGAGAAAUUAUUUGUGCAUUUCUUAAGCUCAUCAAAAGAAAAACAUCUUGCUCCCUUUAACUGUGGUGCUCCACCACUGUCUUUUCCGCUUGGUGCCCAAGAAGCUAGAAGAUAGAGAAAAGGAGUGAUACAAGCAAACCAACUUCUAAUGUCAAUGACAGAAUUUCAAUGUAUCCAAUCAUAAACAACAAGAAUAAUUAAUUACCAAAAGGUCGGCUUAAUCCAAUGGCUCUUUCUGCACGUUUCUUUUGCCUAAUGGCAUAUAUUCCCACUACCACGAGGCCCAGUACAAGAGCUACACAACUAACUGAUGUCCCAAUAAUAACACCAGUGCUCAUAGAACUUUUAUUCCCACCUGAAACAAUUUUGAGUUUUUAUUGUCAGUUUAAUCAAUCUUCUAAUGCAGGGAAAUGGCAUACGAAGUAACGAUGCGAUUUGAAUUACCCGGGAAAGUAUAAGGAUAUGGAAUAAAAUAAUAGGGUCCAAACCCCUCCGGUGGCUUUUGAUUUUGGUAGUUCAAAUCUAAACCAAUCCUCAUAAUCUCUGACCUAUUAAAAUACAUUCCUGUAGGUGGAAAGAGUGCCAGCUGAAUUUGAAGAUAGUCAUGAUUGUCGAAGAAAGGGUUUUCAAGAGAAACUGAACCAGGAAUGAGGCCAAGUAUUUCCCAUAGAAUCGUUUCUAGUGCGUGAAACAUAGUCACAUUUGGCAAUUCCCUGAAAGGGGGUGCUCUGAAAUACAAUGUUCCUUUGAAAGGAUAUGCACAUUGACAACUCUGAGGGCUGGGCUUCUGAUUAUCGGGGCAUGUAAUGCGUGCACAAUUCGAGCUAGUAGUAUACGUUUCUGUAUCUUGUUGCGGAAGCUGACAGAAUUUAGUGACGGCAGUUCCACUGGUGCAAAAUGGGUUCUCUACAAGUCUGCAACAUGUAAAAGUGACAACUAAGAAUGGUGUUGAAAAACACACAACCUUAGAAAAUCAAGAUCAAGGCCCAUGAACUGUCUCACAUUAAUGUAUGUUUGUAUUUAUAACCCAGAGUUAUUUUAGGAAUCUGAUUGUGCUGCAGAUCAACAAGCUGCAGUUGUGGACUGAUGCUAUCACCCAAGUUCAAUGUAUCGUUAAACGCAUUGUUUUUCAGUUUCCUGUCAAGGGUUAGAAAAAAAACAUGAAGGGCAAGUUUCCUAAAGUUACAGUCAAAACUUGAUGCUUUCUUCGGUAUUCUCCUUAAACUUACACUUGCUGCAAUGUUUUGAUGCCGAACAUCUUCUCUGGCACAGUCCCUUCAAGUGCUCCAAAUUCUAAAACGCUGUGUUCCAUAAAAGUAGAGAAUUUCAACAAAAAAUUACAACAAAGUUUUCAGGGUGUACUUUUCCAAGACUCAUUCAUAGAUACUAAGACAUUUUUGUGUAACCUCCUAAGGACUUACAUAGUGGUGAUUGAGGGUAAGUUCGAGAACCAAAGUGGAGCUUCUGAUGGGUCAAAUGAGUUGUUACUCAGGUCUCUGAAGUAAAAUCAUUAGGAUUUAUCAGUACAACAAAAGAACAACUUGCAGGAAACUUGAAACUUGAAAUGACAGCUCCAUGCCAUCUUACUCACACAGUAUGGAGGGACCUCAUUCCAGUUAAGUCAGGUAAAGGGCCUGUCAAUUUGUUGUGAGCCAAAUUUCUGGAAGAGAACAAAAACUCAUGUAAAAGAUGAUUAAGAAUAAUUAAGGUAACUGUUAACAGCACAUUAGAAUAUCCUCUUAGAGACUUGAUACUCACAGUUCAUUGACAUGUGUUAGGUUGCUGAUAUUUGAGGGGACAUUUCCUGUCAGAGCAUUUCUAUCAAGCCGACUGUUGCAAACAAGAAGGUUUUGAAUCCAAUAAGUAUCAAGAAGCAGAUACUUAUAUGUGAAAGAAUAACAAAAUGGAGCUGUUUUUGUACUCACAGAACCUCAAGAGUCUGAACGAGUGCUAUGGUUGAUGGAAUCUCCCGAAUAAAUUGAUUUCCAUCAAACAAACUGCAGUUGAAGAAUGACAUGCAGUUAGAUAAAUAUAAGUACAGAACAUAAACUGAUAGAUGGCAUCUGGCUAAAUUAAAAAAAUGAUCGAAGGGAUCAACUUACAUGUGUAUCAGUUUCAUCUUAGAGCUGAAAAGUUUGGGAUGAAUGGUACCUGAAAGGUUGUUCUUGCUGAAAUGGCUGCAUGUCCAUAUUAUCAGUUUAAUGUUUAUGCAAUAAGCAAUGGCAUAAUCCCUAUUAGAAUUUCAUCUUUUCACAAUGGAGAGAGUUUGGGAAAUGGAAAAAUACUCACAAGUGUUCAGCCUUCAAUAAAUUGUCUAAGCCUGAGGUAAGGGGGGUUGAAAUUGGUAGAGUUCCAGUCAACUGAUUGUCUACCAGGUCCAACCAGUUAAGUUUGGAGAGUUUACCCAAAGAAGGAGGUAUUUGACCAGUAAAUUUAUUCGUAUUCAGAGCCCUGAAAAGAACAAAAGAUUUAUAUAAAGUUGGGAAAGAAAAAACUUAAAAUGGUUUGCACUAACAGUAUGAUUAUCAAUUCAAUUCUUACAAGAAAGUUAGCUCUCCAAGAUUGCCCAAUUCCUCUGGAAUAUUGCCACUGAAGCCGCAGCCCGCUAGGAUCCUAAAAGAUGAAAAGAGUCCUGUAUACUUAUCCAAUAUACAAACUUAUAUUGCACAUACAAAGUUCAAAAGGUGCAAAUGUGAAAAUUGCUUGCUAAUUUGUUCUUACAGGAUAUUUAACUUGCUCAGAUCUCCUAAUCGUGGAGACAGAGAACCCGUGAGGCCUUUGUUGAAUGAAAGGUCCCUGCAAUGUUAACGUUUCCACUUCGUUACAGAAGGAUGCCAUGCUAAUCGAAGAUUGAGUGAUAACAAAAUAAUUGAUACUGCAAAAGAAAUAUGUUUUAUGCAUUUGUAUACAUACUGAAUCUGUUGCAUUGCAUCUGUGUUCAAUUCAUAAUGUGCUGCAAACAUAAUGCUGGUACAAAGAGGAGCAAUUAUACUCACAAGGAUCUUAAUUCAGAGAGUCCCCCGAUAUCGCCUUCAAUUUGUCCUUUCAAGUCCAUUGCUGAUAAUCCCCUGCACAUAAAAAAGUGCAAGGUUGAAAAUUUGUGUAAGAAAGUAGUUCACCAAUGCCCAGAACUAUAAGGAUCACAUGAAAAUUCAAAGAUGAACAAUGCUCACAAUGCGGUCACCCUCGAAUUGUUGCAGGUGACUCCUUCCCAGUUCAUUCCACAGGGAUCAUUUGACUUGUCGUUCCAGCUGGGUGGAAGAUUCGUCCAUGCCCCCUUCAAGGAUAUGAAAACAGCAGCUGGACCAACAGACUUACAAAUCAAUCUACUACCUUAACACAAAGUUUGUACACACAUAUGUGCAGGAUGUUCAACUUACAAUCAAAAUUUAGCUAAAACAUUAAGAAAAGCUUGCAUUAAACACAAUCUAAAUGGACUAAUGACCAAGUUUGCAUGCAAAAACAUGAGAAACAGGAGGAUCAACAUGAUAUUGUUUGUUACACAUAUCUAGGCCAAAGCUCAAACUACCAAAACCCCAAUUUCCCAUUAACUAGGAAAUCUUGUUUGUUACACACGACUGUCUUGACAUGGACUAUGUUUAGGGACUGUAUUGGCUUGGCUUGGCUUGGUCUAAGUUGGAUAACACUUAUCCUGCAUUUGGUGUAUGCUUGGACUAGGACUAGAUUUUUUUAUUUUUUCAAAUAUAUAUAUAUAUAUGUAUGUAUAUAUGUAUUUUAUAAUAUAUAAUAUAUAUAUAUAUCUAUAUAUAUGUAUAUAUGUAUUUUACAGUCCCGAUGUCUUGGACUACAGGGGUCCAAGAGAUUUGUGGUCAUGGAUGUAAAUUCAAUGGUUCACUCACUCUUGCACUCCUUUUAAGAAACUUUUUUGAACCAUUGGAUUAAUAUCCAACGGUGGGUGACCACAAUCUCUUGAACUCCUGUGGUCCAAGAGAUCAGGACUGUAUAAUAUAUAUGUAUAUAUACAUACAUAUAAUAUAUAUAUACAUGUAUAUAUGUAUGUUAUAAUAAUAUUAUAUAUAUAUAUAUGUAUGUGUAUAUAGGUGAAUAUAUGUAUAUUAUAAUAUACAUAGAUAUAAUACAUACAGUCCCUUUCUAUUGAGGGAUCCCUCAAAUAAAAUUAUUUGAGGGACGCCCUUUAGGGUACCCUACAAUUUUUUUCCCAAUGAUCCAAACCAUCUAUUUUUUAGAUCUUCAUUCAUAGAUCAUCCUAAUAAAAAAUUAGACAAAUCGGAAACCGUUUCGACAUCCAAUUGUGUCUUACAAAAUCAAUGAACACUGUGCUUCAAGAAAAUGCUAAAAUUUCAAUAACUUAAUUGAGUGGUCAAAUGAUAUCGGAUUCAAGUGAUUUUUUGUAGGGAUGAUCUUUGAAUGAGUAUCUACAAAAUAGACGGUUUGGAUUAGUGAAAUACAAUCCGGAGUGAGGCCUACAAGGGGUGUCCCUCAAAUAAGCUUAUUUGAGGGAUCCCUCAAUGGAAGCUCUCUGAUAAUACAUAUAUUUAUAUAUAUAUAUGUAUGUAUAUUAUAAUAUAAUAUAUAUAUAUAUGGGUAUGUAAUAAUAAUAAUAAUAUACAUAUAUAUACUUGUAUAUAUGUAUGUAUAUAUACAUAUAUAUAUAUACAAUCCCGAUCUCUUGGACUACAGGGGUCCAAGAGAUUUGUGAUCACUCACCGUUUGAUGUAAAUUCAACGGUUCAUUCACUCUUGCACUCCUUUUAAGAAACUUUUUUGAACUGUUGGAUGUUAAAUCCAACGGUAGGUGACCACAGUCUCUUGGACCCUUUGUGGUCCAAGAAAUCGGGUAUGUAGAUAUAUAUUAUAUAUAUUAUAAAAUACAUAUAUAUAAUAUAUAAUAUAUGUAUAAUAUAUGUGUAUAUAGGUGUAUCUAUAUAUUAUAAUAUAUACAUGGGUAUAAUACAUAUACAUAUAUAUAUAUAUAUUAUAAUAGAUAAUAUAUAUGGGUAUGUUAUAAUAAUAAUAUACAUGUAUAUACAUGUAUAUAUAUUAUAAUAUAUACAUAUCGGAUAAAUAUAUAAUGUAUAUGUGUAUAUGCAUAUUCUAAUACAUACAUGGGUAUAAUAUAUAUACAUAUAUAUAUAUAUACCCCUUCUAUUGAGGGAUCCCUCAAAUAUUUGAGGGACGCCCUUUAGGGUACCCUAUAAAUUUUUUUUCAACGAUCCAAACAAUCUAUUUUUUAGGUCUUCAUUCAUAGAUCAUCCUUACAAAAAAUUAGACAAAUCGGAAACCGUUUCGAUAUCUAAUUGUGUCCUACAAAAUCAAUGAACACGGUGCUUCAAGAAAGUACUAAAAUUUCAAGAACUCAAUUGAAUGAUCAAAUGAUAUCGGAUUCAAAUGAUUUUUUGUAGAGAUGAUCUUUGAAUGAGUAUCUACAAAGUAGUAGUCCCCUCCUAAGGAGGUGUUUUUGGUGGGCCCGGUAUUAGCAAUCUUAUCUAAGACUAUAAUUAAAUGAAACAAACAUGAUACUAAAUUUAGUCUAAGCCAAGCCUGUAUACCAAACAACCCCUAAAUGGACAAAUAAACAUUGAUAUCUGAGACCAUACCAUCACUGGAGUUUGUUUCAGAAAAGAUGACAUGAAUCUCAGCAGAGCAGAAAGCCAGAAAGAGCAGGAACCGCAUGGUUGCCAUGGUGGUGAAGGAGCAAGCAAAUCAAGAAAACUGGUGUGUCUGUGAGGCUGAUCAGCUAGUAAGCAGAGGUCAAAAAAAGCACAUUUCUAUUUACCCCUGAUGGUCAAAAAAGCACUUCGCAAAGACUUCCCUCCACGCAGACACACCCUUCAAUUCAAUUCCUUCCACUCUACCAACUACACCACUUGAAGAUUUUUAUUUAAUGAGUCCUUGACAGCAUGCAUGCAUGUAUGUACGUGCGCAUGUACAAGUUCCGACCAAUUCAGAGCAAGUUUUGCUUUGAAAGUUUUGCGGAUGUACAAACAUAGUUAAGCAGAAACAACUCUCUCAUGAGCAAAGCUAGCAUCUUUCGAAUGGGAACAAAGCUACACAAUUCUGAAUGUACGCCUAAAGUCUCCACUUGCAUUGAUAUAAGAGAGAAUUCAACUAAGUCAUUCAAUGGGUACAUUUGGCUUUAGGCGAAAAUGGGUCCCAGAAGCUGACAUGAAAAUCAAGGCUCUCGGGGGUGCCCGGGACGUAUUCAUGGUUUGAUCCACUUUCAUGUUGAAUGGAUGAAAAGGUUUUCAUUUUCGUAAGAAAUGGAUCAAGACAAGAUGAUCGUUUUCACAAAACAAAAAUCUAAUUCAAACAGUCAAUUUCUAUGGUGCGAAGGGUCAAAGGUUAUUCUACAAAAGAUAAAAGUAUAUUUUUUGUGCCAAGGGGUCAAAGGUUAAUAAACAAACUAGCCACAAAUUGCCGUCUAGCCAUACCAAUAAGAACCUCAAUUGAAGUUUUACCAAUUUCAUAAAAAAUAUGAGCUACAUGAAUCAAAGACUUAAUAUCCGGCAACUCAAUUGAUUAAGAGCAUUUAAAUUUAAACCCGAGAUUUUGUGUUAGAUUCUCCUCUUUCCAGAGGACACAUUGGGACAAAUUCUACUUCAGUUUGGAUGGAAAAGAAUCCUUUGUGUCCCAAAGCAAACGUAGCCUGGCCUACAUCUGGCACACCUAAAAUUAUAGUAGCAAAACCAACCAUGAACAAUAAUUAUGAUAUCUUACAGCUUCUCCUAUUCCAGUUUCUGAAUUCAGUAUCCUUCCUUUCCUAGUGCCUUCAAUAGUGAGUUUGACCUAAUUACCUUUGAGAGGGCAAUCCCAAAGCUAAUAGAAUGUUAUGAAUCCUAUGAAACAAUUCAAUUGGGUAUCUCCUUAAAGUUGUAUCGAGGCAUUUUCAGAUAACAUCCAUACAACAUGAAAGGCCGAAGAUGACAUGUUUAAAAAAAUAUAUAUUAAAAAAUAAAAGAUUAAUGGAUUUAAUGUGGCUGUCGCUACUGUUGGAGUUAUGACUAUACAAUAAUACAAUGCCACGUAUGACAGGACAUAUUUGUCUGUAGGUUGGCUUCAUUCAUGGCGUCGAAGACGAAAGACAGAGACUAAUACAAUGCCAUGUAUGAUCGGGACAUAUUUGUAUGUGCGUUGAAGACGAAAGAAAGACUAGCGGAGUGAAGGGGUAAGAUUUUUUGUCAAAUGAUCAAAACCACACAAUCUCAAUUAAUUAUAGUUAGUCAGUUGGGCUGAGGCGUUUGCAUGCGGAACUUUCAAAAGCACGAGUUCAUGACAUUGGCUUGUUUGAUAGAAGAAGCUUCACCAAUUAAAAUCUGAUCACAUGUAAACAAAGAACAAAUGGGAUAUCAAGGAGAAAGAACAAAUCUAAUCACCAAUUAAGUUACACCUUGAGGCCCAACACUUUGUGGAAUAAAGAAGGGUUUUGAAGCCUAUUAAGGGGUCCUAUUUGUUUCCUUUUAUGCGUGAACCGAUUUGGUGGGCUUGGAAGAUAAGUCAAGUCGGCCCUUGGUAAUGAGUAGAGACGACUUGACCUAGCCCUAUAUAACCUUAAGGUCAUGCUCUCAUCAGACAUGUUCUCUAACCUAUUCUCAUCAUAAAGAGAGAGCUGAAACUAGUGGCGAAGCCAGAAUUUCAUGUGUGUGAGGGCAUCUUACAAAUUAUAAAGAAUCAAAAAUUCAAACUCACAAUACAUUUGAAAAAUAGUGUAUAUAUACAUUGUAAACUUAAGUAAAUGGAGUAAUAUAUUAAAGUAAAAGGGCAAAGACAUUCACUUAAGUGUUGAAAAUGGAAAUAAGGUAAUCUGUACACCUGGAGUGCACCGCCACCAGCUGAGCAAGGGGGCAAUUUGAAGUACCUCCUUGUACCCACUGGCGGACCUAGAAAUUUUUUAGCGGAGGUGCAAUAUUGACUAAGUAUGAAAAAUGGUUUUUUGGAAUAAUCAUUUUUUCAAGAUAAUUUUUGACGGCUUUUAUUCCUUAUACAUCAAAUAAGAAAACUUGAUUUUAUGGGAUUUUAGUAUGAAAUAUAUAUUAACUUAAUGAGCCACCAGCUGAGCAAAUGGGCAAUUUGAAGUACCUUAAUAGAUCCGCCACAAUACAUAAGGGUACAUAUCAAAAUGUAAAGUAUUUUAAAUAAUAUACAUAUAGAAAUACAUAACAGUAUAUUAUCUUUAAAAUAUAAAAAAAAAAAUGAGUAGGGGCCCGGGACCACAUUGGUCCCAGUGUCGCUCUGCCCCUGGCUGAAACAGAUUCUAAGAGAGAGCAGAACUCUUGAGCCGUUCCUGUUCUUGCUAGGAUUGUUGUUGCUACAGAUUGGAUGAGUUAAGAGGUUGUGUACUCUAGGAAGAUGGCUCCAGGUAUGUCUUCGUGUCUCUACGUAUUUCAGAUUGUGUGAAAGAUCUUGAAUAUCUAUAAUAUAGAAAUCUAAUAGUUGAUAUCAGAGCACAUGGUUAUUCACACACACUGAAAUCGUUGUUCAAGCAUGCCUACUCUUACUGUUUCUGUAUGCGAAUUUGUUUUUGUAUGCGAAUAGAUGCCGUGACAAAUAUCAUUACUGUUAUCACUUUUUGAUUUCAAUAUUGAUCUAGUGGUGGUAGAGUUGGCCCCGUAUUUGAACUGAAUCAAUUGAGGAAAUUGAAGAUUUCUAUAAAGGAAAGGCUACUUUUAUUCAGAAAACUCGAAAGGAUUGUCAACCAUUGAUGUGUGCAUGAAUGGUCGAGAAAACCCUUUUCAUUGUAUAUAUGAUAUUCUUUAAACAAACUAAACAAACAGAAUCCAGAUGGUAAAACUUGGGAAAAGCAGUGAGUCCUAACACAACACAAUUCUGAAGGUGAUCAUGGUACAAAACUCAAAGUAGUAAAAUUUCGAUGCCUUCUUUUAGGUCUUACUAGAACUUCCUUGCACCCAAUCCAAAAAAUAAAAUUAAAAAUAAGAAAAACUUUGUAGCAUUCGAGUUUGAAGCCCAUAGGAACAUUGUAACAUAACACACUAAAUUUCUAUUUGGCAAUUGAAAUGACAGACCACUAUAUAUUCUUUUCCUGUAUCUACUUACAUAUAUGGAUAGAGAAGAGAAGGUACAAUUACAAAAGAAGAAAUUAACUCUGCUGCAGGCCUUUGCUACUACUUGGGUUCAAUCUUCGCCGAAACUGCGUAUCCACCACUGUAAUCAAAGGCACCAGUGCUGUCAUUCACUUCCUUUUUCGGCAAGCCAUCGUUGUAUGGAUGCUUAGGAGCUCCUUUUGAUGCUGCAAAUUCUGUGGCUGAUGAAGAUGCGGAUGUUGAGUUUGUGUUCAUGCCAUCAUUCUGCAGAAUGGUUUCAAUAGCCUUCACAAGCUCACUCAUUGUGGGGCGGUCUGCAGCUGAUUCUUCAACGCAUUGCAGGGCCAGCUCCAGGAAUCUCCCAAACCCAAUAAGGGUUCCAGAGUUUCGAAUGCUUCGAUCCAUUAACUCCCUCAAACCAUAGUGUUCUUCAUCAUUCUUGUCCAUCAUCAAUCGUACCUCACGGACGAUGUAUUUUCCCUUCUCAAUAGGCUGCCUAGCCGUUAUCAAUUCAAGCAUCACCACUCCAAAGCUGUAUACAUCACUCUUCUCAGUUAACUGUUGAGUCAUGUAGUAUUCAGGAUCAAGAUAUCCCUGCAAGAACAAAUAGAAACUUAAAGAGUAAAAACUCAAGAGUGUGUCAAUGGGAUGAAUAUAUGUUGAAAUGCUAAUAACGUAAAGCUUACCAGUGUGCCUUUGACCUGAGUUGAGACAUGCCCUUUUCCACCGUCAGCUACCAGCUUGGACAAGCCAAAAUCUGCAACCUUGGCGGUUAAAUGUUCGUCUAAUAGAAUGUUGGUGGACUUGACAUCUCUGUGAAUUAUAGGAGGAUUUGCAAGCUCAUGUAGGUAAGCUAGUCCUCUUGCCGAGCCAAGAGUGAUGCGGAGUCUCCUCUUCCAAUCAAGAUGAAUACCAGAUCUCCCUGCAAUUCAUAUUUAAGCAAAGGUGAAGUUGGUAACUAUGUCUAUUGCAAACAAGUUAUCUCUAUGCAAUAUGAAAUAGCUGAGAGUAAAAUCUUUGAACUAACCUGACAAGCUUUCCCUGAGUGUUCCAUUAGGCAUAAACUCAUAAACCAGCAUCUGUUCUCCUUGUUCAAAACAAAAUCCCAAAAGGCCAACAACAUUUUUGUGAUGAACUCGCGAGAGCAACUCGAUUUCAGUCUUGAACUCAAGGCCACCCUGCAUUGAUCCUUGCUGAGCUCUUUUGAUGGCCACCACUUGUCCAUCAGAAAUCAUUCCCCUGUAAACCUA